CGAAAGCGAGGGGAGCGAACGGGAUUAGAUACCCCGGUAGUCCUCGCCGUAAACGAUGACCACUAGGUGUGGGAGGUAUCGACCCCUUCCGUGCCGCCGGUAACCCAAUAAGUGGUCCGCCUGGGGAGUACGGUCGCAAGAUUAAAACUCAAAGGAAUUGACGGGGACCCGCACAAGCAGCGGAGCGUGUGGUUUAAUUCGAUGCGACGCGAAGAACCUUACCAGGGUUGGACAUGCCGACCUAGUCCUCCGAGACGAGGAUACCCGCAAGGGCAGUCGGCACAGGUGCUGCAUGGCUGUCGUCAGCUCGUGCCGUGAGGUGUUGGGUUAAGUCCCGCAACGAGCGCAACCCCCGUCGUCGGUUAGAUAUGUCCGGCGAGACUGCCACGAGUAACGUGGAGGAAGGUGGGGAUGACGUCAAGUCAGCACGGCCCUUACGUCCUGGGCGACACACACGCUACAAUGGCUGGAGCAGAGGGGAGCCAACCCGCGAGGGGGAGCCAAUCCCAGCAAAGCCAGUCUCAGUUCGGAUGGCAGGCUGCAACUCGCCUGCCUGAAGUCGGAGUUGCUAGUAACCGUGGGUCAGCACACCACGGUGAAUACGUUCCCGGGUCUUGUACACACCGCCCGUCACACCACGAAAGUCGGCAACACCUUAAGCCGCUGGGCUAACCCUUUGGGGAGGCAGGCGUCCAGGGUGGGGUUGGUGAUUGGGGUGAAGUCGUAACAAGGUAGCCGUA
rnacentral:rRNA from 1 species